rnacentral:rRNA from 1 species
CAAUAGCGUAUAUUAAAGUUGUUGCGGUUAAAAAGCUCGUAGUUGGAGUUCUGCCAGGUGCCGCCUGUCCGCCCCAGUGGUGAGUACGUGGCGCGCAUUUGGCCCUUUCAAGGGGAGCGUAUCUGCACUUUAUUGUGUGGUGCGGGAUCCUUGACUUUUACUUUGAGGAAAUAGGAGUGUUCCAAGCAGGCUCUCGUCGUGCACAGCUCAGCAUGGAAUAAUAGCAUUGGACCUCGAUUCUAAGCUGUUGGUUGCCAGAAGCGAGGUAAUGAUGAAGAGGGAUAGUUGGGGGCAUUCGUAUUUAACUGUCAGAGGUAAAAUUCUUGGAUUUGUUAAAGACGGACUACUGCGAAAGCAUCUGCCAUGGAUGUUUUCAUUGA